CCUGGUUGAUUCUGCCAGUAGUCAUAUGCUUGUCUUAAAGAUUAAGCCAUGCAUGUCUAAGUAUAAGCAAUUAUACAGCGAAACUGCGAAUGGCUCAUUAAAUCAGUUAUCGUUUAUUUGAUAGUACCUUACUACAUGGAUAACCGUGGUAAUUCUAGAGCUAAUACAUGCUAAAAACCCCGACUUCGGAAGGGGUGUAUUUAUUAGAUUAAAAACCAAUGCCCUUCGGGGCUCACUGGUGAUUCAUGAUAACUUCUCGAAUCGCACGGCCUUGCGCCGGCGAUGGUUCAUUCAAAUUUCUGCCCUAUCAACUUUCGACGGCUGGGUCUUGGCCAGCCGUGGUGACAACGGGUAACGGAGGGUUAGGGCUCGACCCCGGAGAAAACGCCUGAGAAACGGCGUUUACAUCCAAGGAAGGCAGCAGGCGCGCAAAUUACCCAAUGCCGACACGGCGAGGUAGUGACGAGAAAUACUGAUACAGGGCUCUUUUGGGUCUUGUAAUUGGAAUGAGUACAAUUUAAAUCUCUUAACGAGGAACAAUUGGAGGGCAAGUCUGGUGCCAGCAGCCGCGGUAAUUCCAGCUCCAAUAGCGUAUAUUAAAGUUGUUGCAGUUAAAAAGCUCGUAGUUGAACCUUGGGCCUGGCUGGCCGGUCCGCCUCACCGCGUGCACUGGUCCGGCCGGGCCUUUCCCUCUGGGGAACCGCAUGCCCUUCACUGGGCGUGUCGGGGAACCAGGACUUUUACUUUGAAAAAAUUAGAGUGUUCAAAGCAGGCCUAUGCUCGAAUACAUUAGCAUGGAAUAAUAGAAUAGGACGUGUGGUUCUAUUUUGUUGGUUUCUAGGACCGCCGUAAUGAUUAAUAGGGACAGUCGGGGGCAUCAGUAUUCAAUUGUCAGAGGUGAAAUUCUUGGAUUUAUUGAAGACUAACUACUGCGAAAGCAUUUGCCAAGGAUGUUUUCAUUAAUCAGGAACGAAAGUUAGGGGAUCGAAGACGAUCAGAUACCGUCGUAGUCUUAACCAUAAACUAUGCCGACUAGGGAUCGGACGGUGUUAUU
rnacentral:rRNA from 1 species